rnacentral:rRNA from 1 species
UAGGGAAUCUUCCGCAAUGGGCGAAAGCCUGACGGAGCAAUGCCGCGUGAGUGAUGAAGGUUUUCGGAUCGUAAAGCUCUGUUGCCAGGGAAGAACGCUUGGGAGAGUAACUGCUCUCAAGGUGACGGUACCUGAGAAGAAAGCCCCGGCUAACUACGUGCCAGCAGCCGCGGUAAUACGUAGGGGGCAAGCGUUGUCCGGAAUUAUUGGGCGUAAAGCGCGCGCAGGCGGUCAUUUAAGUCUGGUGUUUAAUCCCGGGGCUCAACCCCGGAUCGCACUGGAAACUGGGUGACUUGAGUGCAGAAGAGGAGAGUGGAAUUCCACGUGUAGCGGUGAAAUGCGUAGAUAUGUGGAGGAACACCAGUGGCGAAGGCGACUCUCUGGGCUGUAACUGACGCUGAGGCGCGAAAGCGUGGGGAGCAAACAG